rnacentral:rRNA from 1 species
UACGUAGGUGGCAAGCGUUGUCCGGAAUUACUGGGCGUAAAGCGUGCGCAGGCGGUUUUAUAAGCCAGAUGUGAAAUCCCCGGGCUUAACCUGGGAACUGCAUUUGUGACUGUAAGACUAGAGUGCGGCAGAGGGGGGUAGAAUUCCACGUGUGAGCAGUGAAAUGCGUAGAUAUGUGGAGGAAUACCGAUGGCGAAGGCAGCCCCCUGGGUCGACACUGACGCUCAUGCACGAAAGCGUGGGGAGCAAACAGG